UGCCAGAUAGUUCAGUUAGUAGAGCACCUGACUAGAGAUUCAGGGGGCUCAGGUUCAAAUCCGAAUCUGGCCC
rnacentral:tRNA from 1 species